UUUUCACUGCCAAACCUAGCUCCAAACAACUCCUUCCAUCCGCAGCGAACAUACGGAGAGGGAGAAACGCGGAGAGAGAGAGAUGCGGAGUGGAGAGAGAGAGAAUCGUGGAGGAAGAGAGAGAGAAUCCCAGAUGUGAGACGCCCACCGGCCACCGGCAGACCGCCACCACCCCUCAACCCUCAGUGUCUCUCUCGCGCUCUUUCUCUCUCACCACCAGACCUCAACCGCCCCUCACUGUCUCUCUCUCUCACCGCUAGACCGCAACCACCCCUGACGGAGUUCUGACAUCUGAGAAUCUGAGUUAUAUGUUCCUCUGUUCUCUAAAGGGUGAAGUCCGAAUCUCUCAUUCUUCGACUUCUAGAGAUUAGAGAACUAUCUUCUCUGUUCUCGCCGGACAACGGUGACCCCGUCGACGCAAAAACAGAGGACAGAUCCGUAGAUCUGGAUUGACGAAACCCCAGUUGUGUGUGGUAAGCGAUCACUAGAUCCAAUCGCCGUCGACUUCGGUGUUGGCUGGUGCAGUCUGCUCAACAGCUCGUCGUUGGCUGCCUGGCCUGAGUUGCUCCAUCGCCACCAGAUCCGAGCCUCCGACACGACGCCAAAACAAUGAUUUCAACUUACAGUUUCAGAGGCAGCAUAGAGCUUGGAGCUAUCAGUAGCGAUGAUACUGGAAAAAGGUUGUUGGUAUAUAGUCGUGUGUUUGAAUGUCUUGAAAAUGUAAUUAAGCAGCCCAUAGCUGGAUUCAAUUAUUUGAACGACUGAGCAGACAUGAAUCUUAUUUCCUGGACAUUGAAAAACUAAAAAGGUGUCUUGAUAAACGUGAGGUGCCAUAAUGUGUCAUAAGAAUCAAAUUAUUCAAAUAAAGAAAUAAUUUUUUUUUGGCA